rnacentral:rRNA from 1 species
GACGAACCGUGCGAACGUUGUUCGGAUUCACUGGGCUUAAAGGGCGCGUAGGCGGUCAAUCAAGUCAGGGGUGAAAGCCUCCAGCUUAACUGGAGAAGUGCCUCUGAUACUGGUCGUCUUGAGGGAGGUAGGGGCAUGUGGAACUUCCGGUGGAGCGGUGAAAUGCGUAGAUAUCGGAAGGAACGCCGGUGGCGAAAGCGACGUGCUGGACCUCUUCUGACGCUGAGGCGCGAAAGCUAGGGGAGCGGACGGG